AAGCACCGCCGACUGCCCUUUACUCCAAGCGAUUUUUGGCGAAUUUUUUAGUGAUUUUUUCUGGCGGAGUCCUAGUGGCACUGUACUCUCGGACAGGUUAUCCCGUCUCUCCCGCUAGAUUGAUGAGAUCAGGCAUC
ensembl:misc_RNA